rnacentral:pre_miRNA from 1 species
GUGACAGAAGAGAGUGAGCACGCAUGGCUUUCGUGCAUGGCUGUUCAUGCUUGAAGCUAUGAGUGCUCACCCUCUAUCUGUCGC